AUGCAGCCAGAAACACAGUCCAAAAGGAGUUCAAAAACGCUGAGCGCUUCCGGGAAUGACAGCCCUGCUUCUCCUGCUGGAAGAGCUGCCAGCACUGGAGAGGAGGGAGGAAAACUACAGCUCCCAGCAGCCUGCCUGGGCUGCCGUGGAAGGGCAGGGUUCACCCUCGCGCCGACAGCAGCGGAGGAUUUAGGGCGCGUUCGGGAAAAGGGCUGUCUGGCCAAGCCAAAGGGCCUCCAGGAAGGACAAGCCCCGGGGCUAUUACUGGCCACCUCGCCGCUUCUCUUCACAGCCCCGACAGGCUCCAGCCCUGCCCAGGUCUACAGAUGUUCAGCUGCAGUUCCUGAGGCCAAGGCAGGAUGGUGGUCCUGCUGGAGGUACGACUUGGUCAGCCACCCCACCAGCAGGGAGACAAAUCCCUGCACAAGCAAAGGAGAAAGUGAAGUAAAAGGUACCGAGACCCCACAGGAGCAAGAAAAUGGAAAAGAAUCCAAGUGUGGAUCUGCCUGGAGGUAAGCCAACCCUGUGCUUGCUCCAUCUCCUGGGAAAAUCUCAUCAUGAGAGUAUUUCAACAGUGAUAAAGGAAACUGAAACAAAAUCACAAGCUGAGAAAAAUCCCUUCUUCUCCAGGCCACGUAGUAACAAUUUACCUUUACUUUUGGAUUCCGGUCAGCAGCAAGUUUAGGCUCAGUGUCCAGGAUGGCAGCACGAGAAGGGCUAAAGAUAGAGCUGCAGGCUAGGAGAACUUUGUUCCUGGUAUCCUAGUGCUUCCCCCUGGGAAACAGCUUUGUAACGUGGGCUGCAGGGAGGGGAACACCUCCUCUGGGUCAGCUGCCAAGUAUAAGUGCAAUCAGGUAGAGCAGCAGGGUUAUGCAUGGUAUGUGGCAGGGGUAGAGUCACCUCCCUCUGGUGACCAGUCAAGGAGGAGGCUCUGUUUAACACAGGUGUUUCAGAUGGACCUGCAAGGAGAAGCGGGGAGUUAACAAACAGGCUUCCAGUGAAGAAGUGAGUCCCAUCAGGUUGUAUCUGCCAGGUGGGCACGACACAGUUCACCUCAAGUGCAGGAUCCAAAUUCUGCAGAGGCCAGAAGCCACAGAUCUGCAGAUGUUAAAUAAUGAGGCAGUUUUCCACCACCCAGAGAUACAAAACCUGCAAAAUAGGCAGGGCAAGGAGCACUGCUUGUGCCCAACUUGAAUAGCAGGAUACCUCCACGUUCACUGCAUUUCAGUUCCUACCAUGCACUUACAUCCUCCUGGUGCCUUAAUACAUGAACAUUUCAGUGAUACCUUGAUGCUAUAAUCUUAUCAGACCCGUCCUAGGCAUUCAGAAUUGCUCCUGUAACAACAGGAACAAAGCAACAAAGAAUGUAAAAGUCCAAAGGACAGCAUGUUCUGACAUGUGACAAGCACAGCUUUUCUCUGUUUUCGAAUUAGGAGAGAGUUCCUUCCAUUUUUGUAUUUCUCUAAUUUAGCAUCAUUAUUUCUCUGUCAUUGUAGUGUGUUUUUCUCACUUUUGG
rnacentral:lncRNA from 1 species